rnacentral:rRNA from 1 species
GACGUAGGGCGCGAGCAUUGUCCGGAUUUAUUGGGCGUAAAGAGCUCGUAGGCGGCUUGUUGCGUCGACUGUGAAAACCCGCGGCUUAACUGCGGGCUUGCAGUUGAUACGGGCAGGCUAGAGUUCGGUAGGGGAGACUGGAAUUCCUGGUGUAGCGGUGAAAUGCGCAGAUAUCAGGAGGAACACCGGUGGCGAAGGCGGGUCUCUGGGCCGAUACUGACGCUGAGGAGCGAAAGCUAGGGGAGCGAACAGG